rnacentral:lncRNA from 1 species
UGGGGACUAGGACACUGUUUACCUCAGCAAUUCCAUUCUGUUCCUUAUUUUCUUCAUUCCAGGAAAUCAAGGCAGCGUGGUUCUAGGAUCAAAAUCAUCAACAGUAACAAUUUGUCUGACAAAGCAAAAAUCGGUAAAAAAAUAAUAAAAAGGAUAAAGAUAAGAUGUGGUUGGAA